UGGAUAAACGAGCUAUAUUUAUUAUAGUUAGGAAAGUCCAUGCUCACACUGUCUGUGAUGAUAGUAGUGUUCGUGCUAGAGGAAUAAAUAACUCUAGGUAGUUUUUAACUAACGGCUGCGAAUUAACCUCAAAUGGUUAUAUUAGCUAUAAAAGUGUCAAAGAGACGAGUUUCUAUAGAAAUGUAGAAAGUGGAACGUGAUAAACCCCGCGAGUGAGAAAUCCAAAUUUUGGUAGGAGAACUUUUAGAAGCAAAUGAUAAGUAACUAAAAGAAUAUAUAUUUAUAUAUAUUAGAUAAAUGUUUAUCACCUAGUAAUAGGUACAGAACAUGGCUUAUAA
rnacentral:RNase_P_RNA from 1 species